rnacentral:sRNA from 17 species
AGAUAAGUUUUCUAGGGUUCCGCAGUUUAUAGCUGGUCAGGUCCAAGAGAAAACGCACAGUAAAAUGUGUUCACGGAAGGAUAAAAGCCUGGGAGAU